AUUUGGAAAUUCUUAUUUUCUUUGAAUGAUAUUGAUGCAUAUACAAUUGUAUCUGAGAGAGUGAAUAAGAUAAUGGCAAUGUGUUGUGUUGCGAUAGUGAAGAUAACCAAUUACGUACUGGGAACUGUUCUUCAAGCAUAUAUACAUUGUAUCGACUUUUGUGAAGGGAAAAUUAUUGGACCAAUUGCCUCGCGGACACAAGUGUUAUAUGAACUUGGCGGGUGAUAUAUAUAAUUUCAUACUUUACGGGGUAUUUCUGGUAGGUACAGUUGAAAUUAUAGUUGGAAAAGGUAAAUGACUAUGUCAAUCACUGAAACAAGAUUUUUAAUUUCUUCAAUCAGGACUUAAGGCUUCCUAUAUGUUACACCUGAUGUAUUCAAUGAGUUCAGACACAUUAAUUUCUUUGUAUUUAUAAUUUUAUAUCAUUAUAUUUUUUUUAUUAUACUUACGAUCUUGCCCAUAUAUUGAAUCCUUUUGGUUGCUGUGAUUGCAAAAUCCUCAUUUGCUUUGAUUGAUCACAAAUGGGAUGCAAAGAAAAGGGACAAGCCACAUAAGAUAAGAGAUAUACAAUAAAUUAAAGAUUCCUAAUUGUUGAUAAAUGACUUAUGUUAUCUGGACCUAAAUGUUUAAUUAAUCAUGUGUGUGUGAUGUUUUAUGUUUUAUAAGAGGCACAUAAUUAAUUAAGUUUUUUUUGCUCUAAUUAGUGUUAGGAUUAUUUUUUUGGUAUUUAUCAGAGGAAAUAUUUAUAUCAAGAGGGGAUAUCUUGUGUUAUUUUUUAUCGGAUUAUUUGCACACAUAACUUUACAUUGAUGAAAUAUUACACAUUUUGGGUCUAAACCUUCACGAUUUUACUUUUGGUUAUUUAUCUAAAAGGCUUUUUAAUCAUUGGAGAAAUUUUUUCUCUUAUUUGAUCAAUAUAUAAUCUUAUUUAUCUUAACAAUCUGUCUGGAAUUUGUUUGUCUUUGUAUAUCAUUUUAUCACUUUUUAUCUUCAAUUUGUCUAUCUCUUUAUAUCAUUUUAUCAUUUUCAUGUCAUUUAUUGGAAUUGUCUUUGUAUAUCAUUAGAUAAGUAAUUGAUUGUCACUGAAUCCAACAUGGAACACUUGAUACUACUAUUAGGGUUAUUUCUUUCGGUAUUGGGUUAUAUUUUGUUAUUUUUUCUUAUGAUUUUUGGUUUUGGUUAUUACCUAAAAAGUGUGAGACUUUAUUUGUAUCUUAAUAAUAAAGACUUGGAAUUGAAUUCAACGAAAUUGACUUUAAUAUAUUUGUCUUUAUAUAUCAUUUUAUCACUUUCAUCGUAUUUAGAGAAAUUGUCUUUGUAUAUCAUUUGAUAUCACCAAAUCCAACUUGAAACUCUAAUACUAGAGUUAGGGUUAUUUUUUUGGUAUUGGGUUAUAUUUUGUUAUUUUCCUUUAUGUUAUAUAUGAAAUUAUUUUAAACCUGUUUUUAUUUAAGAUUGCUUUUAGAAAGGCUUGAAAAAUAGUUUCAUAUUACCCAGGUAGCAAGUAAUAAACUCACCCAUUCAGCUUGGCUCGAGAAUUUUAUUGGAAAUGUUCAGGGAUUGUGAAGAUGGAAUUUGAAGACAAUGAACCUCAGCAGAGUGAAGGGCAAUGUUUGAUGCAAGAAUGGAUUCAGAAUACUUCAACACAAAAACUAUAAAAACAAGUAACCACAUAAAUUGGCAACUGGGAGAAGGUAUUCAGGCUCAAUCUAAAGAGGAGCGUCAACAAUUUGAUACAACUUCUAAAGGCAGCAAAAUUCAUGCUCCCAGUUGCUUGUAAAGAUCAAAUAUUAUCAUAGAUCUAUUUUCUUAGUGGACGUCAUGACAGAAGAAAAUGGCUCUGGACUUAUAUUGAAAGAAACAAUAUAUAAUACAUACACUUGAUGAUGUAAAAAAAGCGAAAUUAAUUCAACAAGGAAAAAGAAACAACAAAAGAAUAGUGAACCAGGUUUAGUUGAAGUAGCUAGGGCUUGCACUUUGAUCUGAAAUGCUUAGGAGUUGCUCUA